GGUGGUCUACCAUGCAGUCGACGGCAGCACAGAAGAGCUUGCUCUUUGGGUGGCGAGUGGCGGACGGGUGAGUAAUGUCUGGGAAACUGCCCGAUGGAGGGGGAUAACUACUGGAAACGGUAGCUAAUACCGCAUAACGUCGCAAGACCAAAGUGGGGGACCUUCGGGCCUCACACCAUCGGAUGUGCCCAGAUGGGAUUAGCUAGUAGGUGGGGUAAUGGCUCACCUAGGCGACGAUCCCUAGCUGGUCUGAGAGGAUGACCAGCCACACUGGAACUGAGACACGGUCCAGACUCCUACGGGAGGCAGCAGUGGGGAAUAUUGCACAAUGGGCGCAAGCCUGAUGCAGCCAUGCCGCGUGUAUGAAGAAGGCCUUCGGGUUGUAAAGUACUUUCAGCGGGGAGGAAGGCGGUGAGGUUAAUAACCUUGCCGAUUGACGUUACCCGCAGAAGAAGCACCGGCUAACUCCGUGCCAGCAGCCGCGGUAAUACGGAGGGUGCAAGCGUUAAUCGGAAUUACUGGGCGUAAAGCGCACGCAGGCGGUCUGUUAAGUCAGAUGUGAAAUCCCCGGGCUUAACCUGGGAACUGCAUUUGAAACUGGCAGGCUUGAGUCUCGUAGAGGGGGGUAGAAUUCCAGGUGUAGCGGUGAAAUGCGUAGAGAUCUGGAGGAAUACCGGUGGCGAAGGCGGCCCCCUGGACGAAGACUGACGCUCAGGUGCGAAAGCGUGGGGAGCAAACAGGAUUAG
rnacentral:rRNA from 1 species